rnacentral:lncRNA from 1 species
GUUUGGUUUGCCAUCACUUUUUGUGACUUUUCUGACAUCUGCAAGUGUCGGAAGUGUGACCUGAAACAUUUAAGGACACUUCUGCCUGAACCAUGGGCAGAUGUUUAGACUCCAAGAUACAGAGGAGGAGGGUCUUGGAGGUUUCUUAGUAUAAGUUCCUCCCUGUGGUACUUGCAGUUCCUACAAGGGGCUGUCAGAGAAACAAGCCGGAGCAGAAGAGCAAGACAUGGUCCUGGUGCAUGAAAGGAGCCUAAGAAAGAAGAGUGAAAGCUGCACGUGUGAAGGAAAUGAAUUUUCCUCAUUGUACACAUUCCGAGAAAAAUGAGGCUAAGACUAUUUCAAAGGAUGUUCUACCUAAUUCGAAUGGGCUUUAAGUGCCAUCUUCACAAUAGCGCCAGAGUCUGGUGUCAGCAAACUGAACAAAUAGAGCUACAGGGAGCGAAUGGGGCUGGGUGCCUCUCCAAAACAUAUGCAGAUGAACUUGAGAUUUCAGAGGACGGUUAAUCCUACACAGCAGUCAAGUGCCUUCCCAGGGGUAUGUCUCAGAUCUCAGGGCUCCCUUCCAAACACUGGCUGCCACGUCAAACCAAAGGGGACGAGCAAUCAGACUCACCUCAAACGCCAGUUAAGAAAGCCGGCCUUACUUAAGCAAUCAAGGGCAAGUGAUCAGCCAACUCUGCUUUCUUUCCUUUCUCUUGGAUCAUUUAUAGACCUUGUGGCCGUGGCCACCACAUUGAGAAGCCCUUGGUCUCUACUUGGACUCACUAUAGCAGAGCAUCCUGGCAGGCAUCCACUGUGCCAUAUGCUUUCGGGAAGUCUGGAUGCUGAAUGUGGUGGCUGUGGGGAAUUGAGCCUUAUUGCUUCAUAAGAUUCCUGGUGGUAGAACUAUUCUGAACAAGAACACGUCCGUCCCCAUAGGUGUGCUCCAAGAAUCACAGAAUAAGAAGGGACUUCGGAGAGAGCCUCACACAGUUGGGCAAUGGGAGCCCAGAGAGGCAAGGAAGGCUCCUUGCCCAAAGUCUUGUACAUCUGAAUCUGCAACUCCUGACUAUUUUUGAGUCUUAUGCUCCAGGCUAAAACUUGUGACUUUAAGUGUGAUGUUCUCGGUGAUGAUUAAUCUAGGAUGUUUCUGUUGUUUUCUUACCGUCAAAGAAUUAACAUCAAAAGGAAAGGAAGGAAGAAAUGUAGAAGUGAAGGCAAGAAGGAAGGAAGGAGGAAAGGAAGGAAGGAAAAUAUAGGCUUUGGGUAAAAAUAAGUUUCUACUCAACACUGACAAAGGUACAGGUUUUGGACAUUGGUUUCCUAAUCUGUAAAUGAGGAAUAGUCAUCACAUCGCUGUCCUGGCUGGUUUUGUGUGUCAACUUGACACAAGCUGGAGUUAUCACAGAGAAAGGAAAGAAAAUGCCUCCAUGAGAUCUAGCUGUAAAUGGAUUAGUGAUCAAGAGUGGGAGGGCCCAGUGUGGGUGGUGCCAUCCCUGGACUGGUGGUCCUGGGUUCUACAAGAAAACAAGCUGAGCAAGCCAGGGGAAGCAAGCCAGGGGAACAUCCCUCCACGGCUCUGCAUCAGCUCCUGCUUCCUGCCCUGUGUGAGUUCCAGUCCUGACUUCCUUUGGUGACGAACAGCAAUGUGAUAGUAUAAGCUGAAUAAACCCUUUCCUCCCCAAC